AGAAGUCAGAUAAUUCUGAAGUCGAUGGUGAUUCUUCUAGUGAUGUUAUCAUGAUUGACAUUGAAAACAGAUAUGCUCCCGAUUCGAUUUCUCCUUCCCCAGUUCCUGGAAUGCGUAGAUUUUCAAUUCGUCAGAAAUUUCCUGGGAAAGAGAAUAUUUGUCCUGCUUCCUCCCAAAGAACUCCUAUUGUAAUGUAAACCUUGGAUUUCACUCCUCAUUCAUCUUCAAGUAAAAAGUUUAGUUGUUUGAAAGAAAAGAAAGAAUCUUCUUCUAAACCCUGCCCAGAUGUCGAAAUCAUUGAUGAAAGAAGUUUAUCUGAUACUGUUAUUCAUAUGACUAGAAGAUCUGAUGAGAUAUAUAAUUCCAUCCUUCUGAAAUCUGGAAACAAUGCAAAUACUUCUGCAGGCAGUGGUUCUUCUGCUGAUCAUUUGAAUCAUCAGCUUUCUAUGCCCUCCCAGCCUUACAGGAUUUCUGAUUCAACAACUGGUGGCAAAUUGCCUAUUCAUGGUCCAAGGAGGUUUGCCAAACCAGCUUCAAUCUUCAAUGCUGAUUUUGUCACUUCUUCAAAUAAAUUUGUUGUCACUAAGUCUGAGGUUGAGAAUUAUAAUAUCAUUUGCAAAUUGGCUUCAUCUCAGUUCCAAUGUGAGGAUGCUGUUAAUAUGUUCGGAGUAAGAUGCACGUUUUGGUCUCUUGGUGAUUCAUUGAAGCCCGGAGGUUUGGUCAAGUCAUUUGUUGUUUCUGCUUUCUGCUUCAGUUUGUUUCACAAGCCCAAUGGUCAUCCUGACAUAUCAAAGAGGCAUUACUUCUUCUCAAACAUUG